rnacentral:rRNA from 1 species
UACGGAGGGGGCUAGCGUUGUUCGGAAUUACUGGGCGUAAAGCGCGCGUAGGCGGACCUGCAAGUCGGGGGUGAAAGCCCGAGGCUCAACCUCGGAACUGCCUUCGAUACUGCGGGUCUCGAGUCCGGGAGAGGUGAGUGGAAUUCCUAGUGUAGAGGUGAAAUUCGUAGAUAUUAGGAAGAACACCAGUGGCGAAGGCGGCUCACUGGCCCGGUACUGACGCUCAUGCACGAAAGCGUGGGGAGCAAACAGG